GGGGCACCACUGGAGGAGUAGCGCAGUGCUUCACAAAGAAGCGCUUCCGAGUAGAAAGUGAACUAGGUCGAGGCUUGCUGGAUAACGUUUGACGCUUUUGCCCCCAAGCCGUGGAUCGAGCCGUGGAUGGAGAAAUUCCUGAGAGUCCUUGGGCCGCUGAGAAAUUGCGCCUCAUCCUAAAGCAAACAUUUACAUUUAUAUUUUGCAACAUAUGAAGCUAGACGCAGCCCAAGACACGUGCUAGGCCGUUCCCGACGACAGCCGUAGCGAAGGAAAUAACCGGUCGCGAGGAGGAUUUGAAUGCAUGCGGUAAGUCCGAUUAUUUUACUAUUUCUUUCUUUGCGUAAAAGAGUUAGUACCGCUUGACGUUAAAGUGCUGUUGUCAUCCGUGCGCUUGUGUGCAUGAGUUUGGGCUCUUUCGGAGCGAUGACGUCGGUGGGGUGCAGUCGGUGGGGUGCAGUCGGAGGGGUGCAGUCGGAGAGGUGCAGAGCGGUGCCCCAUCCUCACAUCCUGGGUGACCCCCAUUUUCUAUCCUCGAGUCAACACCUCGCAUCCUGGUGACUGCAUCCCCCUCCUCCGCCAUCCUCAUCCUUGGUGGGUUGGCAUCGACCCUCCACAUUUGCCGCCAUCCUGGGCCCCCUGCCAUCUUUUGUCCUGGGUGGGGCCCCACAUUUUUAUCCUAUUCGUUCCCAUCCGUAUCCUAUGCCCGACUCUCUGCCGCAUCCUGACCGCGCUGUCAACCUCCUGUCCAGUAGAGGUCCAGUCGGUCGUCUGUCGUCCUUUACGGAACAUGGUUCUGGAGCGCCUGCAAUCAACUUAGGCAAUUGGAAGUCAAUAUAUGAGCGCAAAUAGCUCAUUAUCUCUCUCUCUUGUAUAUGAAAGUGUGCCUGUAACAUUUUGGAGAUUCUCAGAGCCGGACUGCUUCGCUGUGUCGCCGUCAAAG
rnacentral:lncRNA from 1 species